rnacentral:rRNA from 1 species
GAUGAACGCUGGCGGCGUGCUUAAUACAUGCAAGUCGAACGGAGACAGUAGCAAUAUUGUCUUAGUGGCGAACGGGUGAGUAACGCGUUGGUGACCUGCCCCGAAGAGGGGGAUAACAGUCCGAAAGGAUUGCUAAUACCCCAUGUGGUCAUUUGGAUUAGAUGCCUUAUGACUAAACGGAUUUAUUCGCUUCGGGAGGGGCCUGCGUCCCAUCAGCUAGUUGGUAAGGUAAUGGCUUACCAAGGCGAUGACGGGUAGGGGACCUGAGAGGGUGGCCCCCCACAAUGGAACUGAAACACGGUCCAUACACCUACGGGUGGCAGCAGUAGGGAAUAUUGGUAAUGUGCGAAAGCGCGAACCGGCAACGCCGCGUGCGCGAUGAAGGCCUUCGGGUUGUAAAGCGCUUUUUAUGGGGAUGAGGAAGGACAGUACUCAUAGAAUAAGCCUCGGCUAACUACGUGCCAGCCGCCGCAGUAAUAC